rnacentral:rRNA from 1 species
AUGGUUAGGUGUGUCGAUUGCGAAGUUUACUGCAGAAACAGACUAUAUUGGGCGAGAAUAAUAGGAUUUGUAGUGUGCCUAUGUCUUGUAUUCUUGUAUAUAUGCCAGGGUCCCCCUGCCCUCAAGGUGAAUUCCUUGAGUGGUAAGGUCAGCUCCCUCCAUGUUCCAGACAAGGUUUCCUCUGCCAGUCUAGGAAGGGGGCCACUGAACGUGGUGAUUGUGUAUGCCUUUGAUUGCACUAACUGGACCUCUGCCUGGUACACAGUGGAUGGGAUCUUUUGGAUGGUGCAAGAGAAGCUCACCUACUUCGCUGGAAGCUGCCUGGGUUACAUCUAUGUCAUAUCGACCCCAAACACGUACACGUUGGACAUGAAAGUAGUUGACCCUACUGAGACAAAGGAAACUGGCUACACAAAAUUUGCCUGGCACAGGAUGACUUGCACGAAAAACAUGGCAUCAGGCCUCGCCGAGGCGCAUAAAAUGAUCAGCAGCUGCGGGCACCACAACAGCAUCAUCUUGUUCUUCUCCGAUGGAUUGGUAAACAAGGGAGACUUCUUUGAUGGAACCCAGAACUUUGUUUCCAAAGUGCCCGUCCACACAUUUACGCUCGCCGGGGACGCAUAUAACCAUGUUCUCCACUCCAUUGUGGCAAAUUCUCCGGGUGGGAAGUUUCAUGCCACCGCUGUUCCAGAAAGGCCAAAUCUAUCAUCACCCUUCUCGAAACUACUCGAUAGCCUCCUUGGUGCCACCCCAAAGGACGAUGAGAAGCCUCCUGGUACCGUUUCAGGAAGGGAACCUCUAGACGUGGUGAUUAUUUCUGCCUUUGACAGCACUAACUCGACCCCUGCCUGGUACACGGUGGAUAAUGAGAUAUUUUGGUUGGUGCAAGAGAAGCUCACCCACUUCGCUAACAGCUGCAUGGGUUACAUCUACGUCAUGUCGACCCCUAACAUGUACACGUCAGACAUGAAAGUAGUUGACCCAGCUGACACAAAGGAAACUGGCUACGGGAAAUUCGAUUGGCGUAGGUUGAAAUGCACUAAAAACAUGGCAUCAGGCCUUGCCGAGGCACAUAAAAUGAUCAGCAGUCGCGGUUAUCACGACGGCGUCAUCUUGUUCUUCUCUGAUGGGUUGAUAAACGAGGGCAACUUCUUUGAUGGAACCAAGAACUUCAUCUCCAAAGUGCCUGUCCACACGUUUACUCUCGGAGGUGACGCAUAUAACCAUGGUCUCCAAGCCAUUGCCGCAAAUUCUCCGGGUGGGACGUUCAACCCCAUUCCAGUUCCAAGGAAACCACAUAUGUCAGCGCCCUUUUCCAAACUACUGGAUAGACUCCUCAGCAGCACCAUGAAGGACUAA